rnacentral:rRNA from 1 species
UACGUAGGGGGCAAGCGUUGUCCGGAAUUAUUGGGCGUAAAGAGCGCGUAGGCGGUCCGGUAAGUCGGUUGUGAAAGUCGGGGGCUCAACCCUCGGAUGCCGAUCGAUACUGUCGGGCUAGAGUCCGGAAGAGGCGAGUGGAAUUCCUGGUGUAGCGGUGAAAUGCGCAGAUAUCAGGAGGAACACCAAUGGCGAAGGCAGCUCGCUGGGACGGUACUGACGCUGAGGCGCGAAAGCCAGGGGAGCAAACGGG